GGGGGAAUUGUUCGCAAUGGGCGCAAGCCUGACGACGCAACGCCGCGUGGAGGAUGAAGGUCUUCGGAUUGUAAACUCCUGUUGCCCGGGACGAAUGGCUCCAACCUAAUAAGUUGGAGUGUGACGGUACCGGGUGAGGAAGCCCCGGCUAACUCUGUCCCAGCAGCCGCGGUAAUACAGAGGGGGCAAGCGUUGUUCGGAAUUACUGGGCGUAAAGGGCGCGUAGGCGGCCUGCUAAGUCGAACGUGAAAUCCCCGGGCUCAACCCGGGAACUGCGUCCGAUACUGACAGGCUUGAAUCCGGGAGAGGGAUGUGGAAUUCCAGGUGUAGCGGUGAAAUGCGUAGAUAUCUGGAGGAACACCGGUGGCGAAGGCGGCAUCCUGGACCGGUAUUGACGCUGAUGCGCGAAAGCCAGGGGAGCAAAC
rnacentral:rRNA from 1 species